GAUGAACGCUGGCGGCGUGCCUAAUACAUGCAAGUCGAGCGAACAGACGAUGAGCUUUCUCCUCUUACGUUAGCGGCGGACGGGUGAGUAACACGUUGAUAACCUACCUAUAAUACUGGGAUAACUUCGGGACACCUGAGCUAAUACCGGAUACUCUAUUGAACCGCAUGGUUCAAUAGUGAACGACGGUUUUGCUGUCCCUUAUCGAUGGAUCCGCGCCGCAUUAGCUAGUUGGUAAGGUAACGGCUUACCAAGGCGACGAUGCGUAGCCGACCGGAGAGGGUGAUAGGCGACACGGGAGCGGAGACACGGACAAGAGUACUACGGGAGGCAGCAGUAGGGAAUCUGCCGCAAUGGGCGAAAGCCUGACGGAGCAACGCCGCGUGAGUGAUGAAGGUCUUCGGAGCGUAAAACUCGGUUAUGAGGGAAGAACAAAUGUGUAAGGAACUAUGCACGUCGUGACGGUACCUAAUCAGAAAGCCACGGCUAACUACGUG
rnacentral:rRNA from 1 species